rnacentral:misc_RNA from 1 species
UUUCCGUAGGUGAACCUGGGGAAGGAUCAUUCAUAAUAAAGUGUUUUAUGGCACUUUUUAAAAAUCCAUAUCCACCUUGUGUGCAAUGUUAGAUCUCGUCAAUCUUGGCGAGAUUUUUAUACAUCAACUCAUUCUUUAACUAAUUUGUCUGAAAAAUAUUAUGAAUACUUAAUUCAAAAUACAACUUUCAACAACGGAUCUCUUGGCUCUC